GACGAACGCUGGCGGCGUGCUUAACACAUGCAAGUCGAACGGGAACCUUUAUUUCGGUAAAGGUGAGAGUGGCAAACGGGUGAGUAACACGUAGGCAACCUGCCGACAGGAUGGGGACAACAUUCCGAAAGGAAUGCUAAUACCGAAUGGAGUCCGGAGAUGGCAUCAUCUCCGGAUAAAAGAUGGCCUCUGAAUAUGCUAUCGCCUGUCGAUGGGCCUGCGUCUGAUUAGCCAGUUGGCGGGGUAACGGCCCACCAAAGCGACGAUCAGUAGCCGGUCUGAGAGGAUGAACGGCCACAUUGGGACUGAGACACGGCCCAGACUCCUACGGGAGGCAGCAGUGGGGAAUCUUCCACAAUGGGCGAAAGCCUGAUGGAGCAACGCCGCGUGAGUGAAGAAGGUCUUCGGAUCGUAAAGCUCUGUUGCACGGGACGAAAACCGAGCUGAAAAUAUUGAGU
rnacentral:rRNA from 1 species